rnacentral:lncRNA from 1 species
AUUCAUCAUCUUCAUUGCCCGCCCAUUCCCGCUGCCGCCGGGGCAUCAUGGGAGAAGAGACAAGCUGCCAACACACUCGGAUCCGUCGGAGCAUCAUCGCUGGAAUUUUUUUAAUUAUGAUCCGAUUGAGCAGCCUCCCGCAGAACAGAGGGACCGAGACGUUGGGGAUCUUCGGCCAAGGCUCCCGUGCCCGCCGGUUCCGUCCGACGAGGUCAGUGGAGAGUGCGUUAUCUGCUCUCGGUCUUCCACAAUACUUAAGUUUCGGUAGAUGCAAACUCGAUGGAGGAGUACACGUCCGCUGGUGGAUAGCGGCGCACUAGCAGAAUUCUUACUACAUGAGGCAUCAUCUGUGUCUUCUUUUUCCCUGGCCGAUUUUUGUUUCAAUUUUUGUGACCCAUGUAUUGUAAGACUUUGGUAACCAACUUCAUGAUAAAAAUGGACCGUGAUUCCUCCUGAUAACUAUGCUGGGCUGUCGUUGCCAGCAACGCAAAC